CUUUCUCCGCCAUCGUGGUGUGUUCUUGCCUCUGCUUCUCGCCAUGUCUUCUCACAAGACUUUCAGGAUUAAGCAAUUCCUGGCCAAGAAACAAAAGCAAAAUCGUCCCAUUCCCCAGUGGAUUUGGAUGAAAACUGGAAAUAAAAUCAGGUACAACUCCAAAAGGAGACAUUGGAGAAGAACCAAGCUAGGUCUGUAAGGAAUUGCACAUGAGAUGGCACACAUAUUUGUGCUGUCUGAAGGUCACGAUCACAUUACCAUAUCAAACUGAAAAUGUCACCACUAUCUGGAGAGUUGGACCUGUUUUCCUCUCUGAAUCUAUUAUGAAUGUGUUGGUUGGCUGGGUUCAGUAAUAAAUAUGUGAGGCCUUUCAUUUCAAAAAAAAAAAAGAAA